AUUCUCUCGGGAGGGUCGCUUCUUUUCUAGAGAAGAGACGGCCGGGUUAUAGCCGAGGUCGUGGGCAAGUGCGCUGUGCAGCAUCACAGGCCCUGGCGCUCCCAGCCACCCAGCUCAGGCUUCCUCAGACCACGAGCAACACCUUCUCCUGAGAUCUUCGUAGGCCCCAUUCGGCCCAGGACUCUGGCUCUACAGUGGCACCCGGAUGCUGGGAGGAACCGGGUCCCGGCGGCCCUCCGGGACACUCAUCCUCACGGUUAAGUGAAGGAGUAGCUGUCUCCCUAGAGUCUUGGCGACUACACCAAGAAAACUUCUGCAUUUCCACAGACGGUAUUUUCAAAGCAGAAGUG